rnacentral:rRNA from 1 species
UACAGAGGGUGCUAGCGUUGUUCGGAAUUAUUGGGCGUAAAGGGCGCGUAGGCGCCCUGUGUGUCGGGUGUGAAAGCCCACCUCUUAAAGGUGGAAUUGCAUUCGAAACUACAGGGCUGGAGUGUCGGAGAGGAUGGCGGAAUUCCUGGUGUAGAGGUGAAAUUCGUAGAUAUCGGGAGGAACACCGGUGGCGAAGGCGGCGACCUGGGUAGAUACUGACGCUGAGGCGCGAAAGCGUGGGGAGCAAACAGGG